rnacentral:lncRNA from 1 species
GUUGGAUCAAUGAAUUCAAGAAGAGGAAUCCAAAAUAGGGUAGAAUUCGCUCUCACUUAACUCAUAUUUUUUACUGUUUAUUUUACUCCCAAUAAUUAUAGCAAAGAGAAUGCUUAACACGCAUCAGAUAGUUCUCAGCACUUUGUGUAUGAACACAUCUAACUCCCUCACAUUCCCUCUGCGGUAUGAAGCAUCGUCUCCACCGCACAGAGGAGGAUUCCCAGGGGGAAGCAGGGGACUGCGUGACCCCGGGAACAGACGUGAGGAGCAGAGCUGAGACCAGAGCCUGGGUCAUGCACCUGUCUGUGCCCUUAACUCCUAGGUUGUUCCGUUUCCACAGUCAGCACACUGGGUCCAAAAUAAUCAGAAAUGAGCAUUUAACUGCACUGGUGUGCCGUGAAAGUUUUGAAAGGGCUUUCGAAAGGGCGUUGUUCAAAGUCCACGGCUGCUGCCAUGAGGGCGUCCCGUGUUUUGAAGGAGAGAGGAGGAGAUGAGUUAGAGGAGACGGAGUCACACAGACGGCGAAGGGGAGCCUGCAGGACGGGCGAGGAGAAGGGAGUUUUGUUCAGUUUGGAACAGACGUUCAAAACCAGCCUGAACCACAGGGAAAAGAUGUUCACUGCCGCUCGUUUAUCAAGGCGAGAGCUCCUGAGGAUGCUAACGCCUCGUGAGGCAGGACCGGGGACUCCAGAUGCUUCUCCCCGGAGGGAAGCCUUCCAAGAUGACCAUGAGGAAACCUUAAGCAAUGAGGCAUCCCACCUGUGGUCCUCAGUGUCCUCCUUCUCAGCAGGGACAAAAUGAGGCUUCCAGCUCUCAAGUCCUGCGACGUGAGAAAACAUGAAUCUUAGGCGGUGCCGACUUCCACGAGAGAUGCCAUCACACACUCCACAAGUACUUUGUGCCUUGGAAGAUGACGAAGAGGAGGAGUGAGUUCACAUUUGGCUUCCUCUUUCCCUCUCUCGGACCAAGCUCCCCGGUCUUCAGCUGAGGCCAGGGGCUCCCUGCAGCCCACUCAGCCAAGGUAGGCAGAGGUGUAGACUCGAUGAGCUCCGACAAAUGCCAUGUCCUCACAAGGGUCCAGAGUCCUCGCUUUAGCCCCCGAGCGACAUGGAGGCUGAGUCAUAUCACCAGGUGCGGCUCCACCAGCCCUGCCACUCUUCUGAACUCUCUGGAUCACUCAUCACCAGGGCCCCUGGGUUCCCACACUCUGCCCUGAGAAAGGACCCACGGGGUCGAGGGAGGUGAGAAGAAAGCCCAGAAUUAGUCAUAAGAAUCAAAUCAGAAUCACACGGCCACCGUGCCGAACCUUCGCCCACAUGCUGCACGGGGAUGGGGACGCGGAUGCGGAUGGGGAGAGGGAUGGGAUGAUGGGGGUGGGGAUGGGAAUUGGAAUGGGGACGGGGACGGGGAGGGCCAGCCAGGCCUGGAACAAGGUAAUCCUGAGGGUG